CUGACCGAGCAACGCCGCGUGAGUGAAGAAGGUUUUCGGAUCGUAAAGCUCUGUUGUAAGAGAAGAACGAGUGUGAGAAUGGAAAGUUCACACUGUGACGGUAUCUUACCAGAAAGGGACGGCUAACUACGUGCCAGCAGCCGCGGUAAUACGUAGGUCCCGAGCGUUGUCCGGAUUUAUUGGGCGUAAAGCGAGCGCAGGCGGUUAGAUAAGUCUGAAGUUAAAGGCUGUGGCUUAACCAUAGUACGCUUUGGAAACUGUUUAACUUGAGUGCAAGAGGGGAGAGUGGAAUUCCAUGUGUAGCGGUGAAAUGCGUAGAUAUAUGGAGGAACACCGGUGGCGAAAGCGGCUCUCUGGCUUGUAACUGACGCUGAGGCUCGAAAGCGUGGGGAGCAAACAGGAUUAGAUACCCUGGUAGUCCACGCCGUAAACGAUGAGUGCUAGGUGUUGGGUCCUUUCCGGGACUCAGUGCCGCAGCUAACGCAUUAAGCACUCCGCCUGGGGAGUACGACCGCAAGGUUGAAACUCAAAGGAAUUGACGGGGGCCCGCACAAGCGGUGGAGCAUGUGGUUUAAUUCGAA
rnacentral:rRNA from 1 species